AGGGAAUAUUGGUCAAUGGACGAAAGUCUGAACCAGCCAUCCCGCGUGCAGGAUGACGGCCCUAUGGGUUGUAAACUGCUUUUGUACAGGAAGAAUAAGCUCUACGUGUAGAGUGAUGACGGUACUGUAAGAAUAAGGAUCGGCUAACUCCGUGCCAGCAGCCGCGGUAAUACGGAGGAUCCAAGCGUUGUCCGGAUUUAUUGGGUUUAAAGGGUGCGUAGGCGGCUUAUUAAGUCAGUGGUGAAAGUUUGCGGCUUAACCGUAAAAUUGCCAUUGAAACUGAUAGGCUUGAAUUUGGUUGAGGUUGCCGGAAUGUGUCAUGUAGCGGUGAAAUGCUUAGAUAUGAUACAGAACACCGAUUGCGAAGGCAGGUAACUAAGCCAAUAUUGACGCUGAGGCACGAAAGCGUGGGGAUCAAACAGGA
rnacentral:rRNA from 1 species